rnacentral:rRNA from 1 species
CAGUCGUACCUUCGGGUAAUCAGCCUUUCGGGUGCGAUUCUGUGGAGUUUGAGGAGCUUAACACCUUCAUGCUUUGCAUAUUCGUGCUCUUGGGUGUACUUGCCCGUGUGGUUGGUUAACAUCAAUUUCGGGCACCAUAAAAUGGCUGGAGGAAUGUAGCUUCGAUCUUGUAUUGAAGUGUUAUAGCCUUCGGUAGAUGUGGUUAUCGAGAUUGAGGAUUGCAACGGAUACCUUUCGGGGCUACCUGUCUGAUCUCUGAUCGUUGCUUUGGUGCUGAAAGCGUGCUUAUAGUUAUCAAAGUCGAUGGUCAAUAGGUUAGAAUGGGUUAAAUCGUUAAGGAUGUUGACGUA